UGUACAUAUUUAUGAGAGGAGCCAGCUCUGGCACCCUUGCAGGGCUCCUAGCUGUGAAAGCUGUAACCUUUGGAGCGAUUCAGUAGGCAGUCACCUUCAGCAUGGGCACAAAAACGUUGCUGCUGACAGAAAAUAAGAACACCACCACGAAGUGAACGUAAAGUGCCGUGGGAUGUAAAACACACCUCAGAGAGAAGAAACACCUCGGUUCCUUGUCCUAGUACCCUGCUAUAGGGUUUUUGGCUUUCGCACGAUGAUGUUUCUGCGUCUGGAUGUGGUGGUUUCCAGUCUUGUGGCUUCUGAGAUGUCUGUUCCAGACCCUCAUGAUGUGGAUGCUUCCUCCUACUGAGGUGCGUGUGCAAUUCUUCAUAGCGCUGGCUGUUGACAACAACUACAACUUUCAUCGCAGAACCCCCGACUCGAUAUUCGUGCCAGGACAUUCAUUGCAAUUGCCCUGAUUUGAUGGCAGCUUUUGAAGGAAAUAAAAAUCAGAGCUUUGGAGCAUUCUUGGCAUGCAGCAUGAUGACCCUUGGAAAAAGGAGACCCAUUCACCCUCCUGAAGACUGCUGUUCAGACACAGGGUCUCAACAGACAAGGACCCAGCAGUUUCAGAUGGACGCUGUGUUCUCCUCUACCUCCUGCUCUCAUCUGGUCUUCGGUGCUCAGGAAAGCCACUGCCCAUCCGUGAUCUCCACCCAGGAAAGGCCAAAUCACUGUUUCAUACGGGAAGCAAAUAAAGCAGAGCUCAUGCACUAGCUGAUGAGACUGAAACAACGCACUGGAUGGGCAUCUGGUCAAGCAAGUGCUGUCUGUCCCUACUGAGUUAGGG